UACGUAGGCAGCAAGCGUUGUUCGGAGUUACUGGGCGUAAAGAGUGCGUAGGCGGUGCCCUAAGUCUGUUGUGAAAUCUCGCGGCUUAACUGGGAGGGUGCGGUGGAAACUGGGGUGCUUGAGUGUGGGAGAGGUAAGCGGAAUUCCUGGUGUAGCGGUGAAAUGCGUAGAUAUCAGGAGGAACACCGGUGGUGUAGACGGCUUACUGGACCACGACUGACACUGAGGCACGAAAGCGUGGGUAGCAAACAGG
rnacentral:rRNA from 1 species